UACCAGCACCCCGAGUGGUCGGGACGAUUAUUGGGCCUAAAGCAUCCGUAGCCGGUUUUACAAGUCCUCCGUUAAAUCCACCUGCUUAACAGAUGGGCUGCGGAGGAUACUAUGGAGCUAGGAGGCGGGAGAGGCAAGCGGUACUUAGUGGGUAGGGGUAAAAUCCGUUGAUCCAUUGAAGACCACCAGUGGCGAAGGCGGCUUGCCAGAACGCACUCGACGGUGAGGGAUGAAAGCUGGGGGAGCAAACCGG
rnacentral:rRNA from 1 species